GUAUGAUCCUGCCUGGUGGUGGGUGCAGGCUUCAAACCUGUAGGGAUCUGACGGUCCAGCUGUUCGAUUCAGCC
rnacentral:tRNA from 13 species